UCCAGCGUUUUCAGGCCUAGUACUAAGUGGUCCAAAUUUACUUAAUCUAGGAUGAGUCAGUCCUAAUGUAAACGAUUCAAUCCAAAAAGAAUAAUUAUGGUGACAGAAAUGACCCUCAUCUAAAAACUGCAGGUCACAAUGCUGAUUUAUUUGUAAAUCAUUUCUUCAUCGUCUCUAUCGGUAGAUCUCUCCAGCGAAACUGUGUUCAUCUUUUUUCAGCUCAAUUAACCAUACAAAUUUCUUUGCUUGCUCUCUCGAUUUCUUUUUCUUCUAGGUCUAAUCCCAUCCCUGAAACCGUAGAAGCUAAGAGAGAUGCAUGGCACCAGAUCGGUGAAAAGAUUUAUGGACAUGUCAGAUUUGGAGGAGGAGAUUUAGAACUUGUAUAUGUGAGAAUCAAUGUUCUCUGAAAACUAUGAUUUCUCUUCAAAAUCCUCUCUCGGCUCACAAUUAAUGUUUCAAUCUGUCAUCCGCUGAUGAUUCGUAUCAUUCCGAGUUAAAGAAGAACCUGUACAAUCAAUAGGAUUCAAGUUUAUUUGCUUGUCUUGGGAGAAACGUUAAGUUUUGUAGGAACGAUCUUGAAGUUUGUAAGUAUUUUACUUGUCUUUUUGUUUGAUUGACAUACGUUGAAUUGGAAAUUGGAAAAUGGAUCUAUUUGUUGUUUUGAUUUUGUUGGAUUUGGGAUUCUGGUGAAUUUGUUUAUAUUGGAAUGGAGAUUUAUUUACAUAAUAUUUAUUAAGAAUUAUGUCACAAAUAUUUGUUAAGUUUUGUAGUAUAUAUAAUCUUGUGGUCUAACCCUCCUGUGUUGCAAAUAGAACAGUAGAUUCAUACUUGUUUUAUGUCUAUAUCAUUGUUAGAAAUUAUAAAGUCUUAAUUGAUGUGUAUAGUAUUUGUAUCAAUUUCUGCAAACAAACUUCAAUGUUGAAAAUUGAACAGUAGAUUCAUAGUUUUUCUAUAUUUGUGUCAUUGUUUAGAAGUUAUAAAGUCUUUAAGUUGUGGAAUUGGAUCAAAUUCUGCAAUCAAUGCUCGAUUUGGUUACUUCUUCUUGAUUUUCAAAUCUAAUAAACUAGUACUCAUAUUGUCUAGUUUCAGGUCUAGAACCCCAUUGCGGAUGGUUGUCCAUGUGGUUAAGGGGAUUAAGAAGAGGUGAAGGAAAGUAAGUAGGAAUUCGGGUCAGAUUAGUCAGUCUGCUAAUUACUAAGUAAUUAUAAUGUAGAAAGGAUAUUUUUAACAUUUUGUUCUUCACAAUAUAUGCAAUAAAGAGGAGUAGUUGAAAGAGAAUUAUGACAUGAAUUGUGAAAGUUAUGAUGUAUGUGUAGAGGACUAGGAGGAUGAGUAAGUAGUAUUAUGUUAAAUCUUUUCACUGGUUUUUGGGGUUCUGUUGUUGGACAUCGGUUGCAGGCUUACUAGUUAGCUUAACAUUGAAUUAGUAGUCUUAUUUAAGUAUAUUUGUUUUGUCUGUGAAAAUGUGUCUUUAUUUCUUCAUUGAAGAAGAGUAGUGCAUUUACUAACCUGAUGGUGAAGUGCACUCUACCUGCUAUAUUGAAUGAUAUGGGUAUGAAAUUGGUCGUUGGGUAGUUCAGAUUUAAGUGGAGUAGAUAGAGAGGCAUAAAGAUCAUGGGGAACUGGGGAUGACUUUCAACCAUAUAGAUAGCCUCUUUGUUAUGCCUACUGCAGUCAUACUGUAGUUAAUUUGUAAGAGUAUCAGUUGUGCUUUAUUUUCUUGUUGUAUCCAUGAAUUCUGAAAGCACACUUGGACUGGCCAUGCAGCCAGCUAGACCUCUGUGCUUGGUAUCCAUGAAUUCUGAAACCACCACCCACCCAAACAAUAUAAACUGCUCUUGACACAGGGAUGUAAUUGGCAAGUUCAAAAAUUUUGUUGGGAACUGAUUUAAUUUGAUUGAUAGGCGACAACGUGUCACCUUUUCAGAAAUGGUAAUGGAUUUCCAUAUACCUUGUCCCCUAUAUUGAAAUUUCUGAGAUAUUGCUAUGACUUUGUUGUUGCGCUUUGUAUUUACAAGGAUUUUGCAUACCCGUCUUUAUCUUCUCAGCAGAAAGGCAGAUCCUCACAAGUUGUAUGCUGGGAACUCAAAAGAAUAUCGGUUGCCAGGGCUAAGCAAGCUAAUGAAUUGAGAUGAAUAUCCAAAAUGGUAUCUCCAGGAGCUGCCAUCUGAACCUAACCUCGAUGAAGUUGCUCCAGGUCUGCUUUCGGGAGAGACAUGCAGUCCAGAGGUAGUAGUGAAAGACCCAGUAGUUGUUAAGAAGGAGGAGCAGCAAGCCGGUAUUUGGAGGCACUGUACUUAUUUCUUGUUCUGCAUGCGUGUAUAUAUCAUGGUCACUAUUUAUUAAUUCUGGUGUUAUGAUAGGGAACUAAAAAGAUUCAAAUGAACGGAAAUGACCUUUACCUACAUAUUGCUCAUAGUAAACUAGUGCUGGGUAUUCGGGUGGUUAGUGGGAUCCCACUAUAGUCAGCAACAGAAGUUCUUAUAAUAAUCACAUUAGACGUGAAAGAUAGGGAUGGGGAUUCGAGGAAUGUAAAAAUGAGAACAAGCGGUCACAUGAAGAUGAAGAGGGUAAGAUGAUUCGCUCAGUAGAGGAAACAACACACAAUGAUGAAACGAAAAAGAUACAUCACCGUAUAUUUGAAGGAGACUUGAUGAAGGAUUACAAGAAGUUUGAUUUGAUAAUCGAAGUCAAUCCUAAGGCGAAUGGAAAUGGAAGCGUUGUGACACGGUCAAUUGCGUAUGAGAAAAUCAACGAGGAUUCUCCAACUCCGUUUGCUUAUAUACUUUUCUGCCAUCAGGCCGUUGAAGACAUGAAUAAGUACUUAUGGGGUCUGAAUAACUGACCGAUGUCAUUUAUACAUGAACCCGUUCGGGGUUGGUGUACGCGGAUCUAUGCACGUACGUAUUAAUCAGUUGUGGCUUUGUGUGUAUUAUUGUUAUAGUAUAUGGUGAUACUAGUCUCAGUGACUGAAUACUAUGUCAGUCUAUGAGCGUGGUUUGAUUUGUCACGUCGAUAUAUAAUAUCCAAAAAAAUCAUGUAUGUUUUCUAUUAAAAUAAAUAAAGAUCACAUAACUCGUUUCAUAU